rnacentral:rRNA from 1 species
UACGAAGGGGGCUAGCGUUGCUCGGAAUUACUGGGCGUAAAGCGCACGUAGGCGGCUUGUUAAGUCAGGGGUGAAAUCCUGGAGCUCAACUCCAGAACUGCCUUUGAUACUGGCGAGCUUGAGUUCGGGAGAGGUGAGUGGAACUGCGAGUGUAGAGGUGAAAUUCGUAGAUAUUCGCAAGAACACCAGUGGCGAAGGCGGCUCACUGGCCCGAUACUGACGCUGAGACUCGAAAGCGUGGGGAGCAAACAGG